CACACACAGACAGCUUUGCUGCUGCCAAACCACAACACAAAAUUGUUUUUUCUUUUUCUUUUUAUGAGAAGAAAUGUCGGAGCACGGCAGGUCUCGGUGUAAAAAGUUUUGUCAAUAAGAAGAAGAUGAAGACUGUGAUAUUCCCAACCUGCAGGUGGAAUAAUAUCCAAUAAUGCCGUGGUCUGACUGAGCUCCGAACUUGGUGUCACUAAAGUUCCUCAACAAGAUUCAGUGGAGGCCGCUGGAUAGGUUUCCGUUUAAUAUUGACUGUGACAUUUCAACCUUUUGUGAUGAAUUUUCCAGAUCAACAUCACUCGCCGUCUGUGUUUGUGUCCUCGUGGUGGGCUCAACGAGCGGACAGGAAGAAUUCAACACAGAGGAGGAAUAAUCUGUUUAGAAAUGGCGGAUGAGACGCUUCGGCCUUCAUCCCCUGUGUUUGCGCCCGUGUGCUCUGCGGAGGUGUCCGAGGCCUUGACGACAAUAUUACACGCUCGCCAGGUGCUCAACACUACAGCUGAAUAAAGCAUGAAAGGGAAUUUUGGACUGUCAGCAGUAACAAAGCCACAGAAACUCCCUGUUCACUCUCACUUCGAGCCGCUCAUCUUGCCUGUCGAGCAGGUAAAGAGAACAUGAGGAGAGGGACGUGCAUGUGAAAUCAGCUCUUUACCUGUAGAAGCAUCUGUGUGUCAGAGGAGCACAGCUCAGGUCUGUACAAUGCAGCUGUAAAAAAAUAGCACCGUUUUACUCUCAGGUUUAAUGCGGAAGCCGCUGCAUCUGAAACAAGCUCCAUUACACAAGGACGCAAUCAGCUCGAGAUGUGUCCAGCUUGAUGGGCCCCUGCAAUUAGGAUCCACUUUCACAGCUGAUCUUGUGUGUACAUGUUUGACCCGGUGUUGCUGUCUGACCACAGGAAAUGCCUGUGGUGCACCCUGCCGUGCGUAGCCACUCAUUUCAAAUCUAAAGUGAUUUCUUUUUCUUUUCUUCAUCUUCAAAGGUUUGUGAUAUGACAUUCAAAUUUGUCAGACACGUUUCACUGCACAUAAUAAAGAGCUUGC
ensembl:lncRNA